rnacentral:tRNA from 1 species
GAGGUUGUAGCUCAGUGGUAGAGCACUUGCCUAGCAUGUGUGAAGCACUGCCUAGCAUGUGUGAAGCACUGGGUUCCAUUCUCAGUACCACA